rnacentral:rRNA from 1 species
UACGGGGGGAGCAAACGUUGUUCGGAAUCACUGGGCGUAAAGGGAGCGUAGGCGGCCAUGUAAGUGGAGUGUUAAAUCUCCCGGCUCAACCGGGAACAUGCACUUCAUACUGCUUGGCUUGAGUUAUAGGAGAGGAGACUGGAAUUCCCGGUGUAGCGGUGAAAUGCGUAGAUAUCGGGAAGAACACCAGUGGCGAAGGCGGCUCACUGGACCGGUACUGACGCUGAGGUGCGAAAGCGUGGGAGCAACAGG